AACGAUGAACCACUUCGGUGGGGAUUAGUGGCGAACGGGUGAGUAACACGUGGGCAAUCUGCCCUUCACUCUGGGACAAGCCCUGGAAACGGGGUCUAAUACCGGAUACGACCUGCCAAGGCAUCUUGGCGGGUGGAAAGCUCCGGCGGUGAAGGAUGAGCCCGCGGCCUAUCAGCUUGUUGGUGAGGUAACGGCUCACCAAGGCGACGACGGGUAGCCGGCCUGAGAGGGCGACCGGCCACACUGGGACUGAGACACGGCCCAGACUCCUACGGGAGGCAGCAGUGGGGAAUAUUGCACAAUGGGCGAAAGCCUGAUGCAGCGACGCCGCGUGAGGGAUGACGGCCUUCGGGUUGUAAACCUCUUUCAGCAGGGAAGAAGCGAAAGUGACGGUACCUGCAGAAGAAGCGCCGGCUAACUACGUGCCAGCAGCCGCGGUAAUACGUAGGGCGCAAGCGUUGUCCGGAAUUAUUGGGCGUAAAGAGCUCGUAGGCGGCUUGUCGCGUCGGUUGUGAAAGCCCGGGGCUUAACCCCGGGUCUGCAGUCGAUACGGGCAGGCUAGAGUUCGGUAGGGGAGAUCGGAAUUCCUGGUGUAGCGGUGAAAUGCGCAGAUAUCAGGAGGAACACCGGUGGCGAAGGCGGAUCUCUGGGCCGAUACUGACGCUGAGGAGCGAAAGCGUGGGGAGCGAACAGGAUUAGAUACCCUGGUAGUCCACGCCGUAAACGGUGGGCACUAGGUGUGGGCAACAUUCCACGUUGUCCGUGCCGCAGCUAACGCAUUAAGUGCCCCG
rnacentral:rRNA from 1 species